rnacentral:rRNA from 1 species
AUUGAACGCUGGCGGAAUGCUUUACACAUGCAAGUCGAACGGCAGCACGGACUUCGGUCUGGUGGCGAGUGGCGAACGGGUGAGUAAUGUAUCGGAACGUGCCAGUCGUGGGGGAUAACGUAGUGAAAAUUACGCUAAUACCGCAUACGAUCUAUGGAUGAAAGCGGGGGAUCGCAAGCCCUCGCGCGCUUGGACCGGCGGAUAUCAGAUUAGGUAGUUGGUGGGGUAAAGGCCCACCAAGCCAACGAUCUGUAGCUGGUCUGAGAGGACGACCAGCCACACUGGAACUGAGACACGGUCCAGACUCCUACGGGAGGCAGCAGUGGGGAAUUUUGGACAAUGGGCGAAAGCCUGAUCCAGCCAUUCCGCGUGCAGGAUGAAGGCCCUCGGGUUGUAAACUGCUUUUGUACAGAACGAAAAGGUUUCUACUAAUACUAGGAGCUCAUGACGGUACUGUAAGAAUAAGCACCGGCUAACUACGUGCCAGCCGCCGCGGUAA